rnacentral:rRNA from 1 species
GCGUAAGGGCGGCUUUGGAUAAGCCCGGUUGUGAAAAGCCCCGGGCUUCAAACCUGGGAACGGGCAUCCGGGAACUGUCAGGCUAGAGUGCAGGAGAGGAAGGUAGAAUUCCCGGUGGUAGCGGUGAAAUGCGUAGAGAUCGGGAGGAUACCAGUGGCGAAGGCGGCCUUCUGGACUGAAACUGACGCUGAGGGUGCGAAGCCUGGGUUGCCAAAAGGGAUUGAUACCUGGGUAGUCCACGCCGGAAACGAUGUCGCUUAGGCGUUGGGUCCUUCCGGGGCUUUGGGGGGCAGUUAAGCGGAAAAUCGACCCCCUGGGGGGGACCGCCCCAGGUUAAAAAUUAAAAGAA